rnacentral:rRNA from 1 species
GUGGAUUAGAUACCCUAGUAGUCCACGCCCUAAACGAUGAACACUAGGUGUCGGGGGAGUUAAAUCCUCCGGUGCCGCAGCUAACGCAUUAAGUGUUCCGCCUGGGGAGUACGGCCGCAAGGUUGAAACUCAAAGGAAUUGACGGGGGCCCGCACAAGCGGUGGAGCAUGUGGUUCAAUUCGACGCUACGCGAAAAACCUUACCUAGGCUUGACAUCUGGGGAAUUUUCUGGAAACAGAGAAGUGCCUCGCAAGAGGAGCCCCAAGACAGGUGCUGCAUGGCCGUCGCCAGCU